GCUUCCUGCUUCCUGCUUCAGUCUGCAGACCAGGGCUUGGAUUUGGCUGUGUUCCUCUGUUGAAGGUUACAGCUACUGCCGCACAGCUGUCUUUGUACAGAUCUCCCCAGAUAAAUCCAUAAUGUAAGGUUCCAGAUGGCCACACUUAUUUGGAGACACUAUUUAACACAAUUCUACUUCUACUUCCAUGAGAACCUGGUGAAGAAGACACAGCCAGAGCUUUGAUCAAAGAUUCCAAAUGCAAAUAUACCUAACCAUCCAACUGGUCCCAUCAGCCAAUGUAUCUCUUUGUUACCCCAAGGGAGAUUGAUUUAGAUUUUCAUCAAUAAAUCUUCAUAUUCUCAA